GGACGAACGCUGGCGGCGUGCUUAACACAUGCAAGUCGAACGGUGAUGGAGAGCUUGCUCUCCGGAUCAGUGGCGAACGGGUGAGUAACACGUGAGCAAUCUGCCCCCUCACUCUGGGAUAACCCGUCGGGAAACCGAAGCUAAUACCGGAUAUGACGCGCGAAGGCAUCUUCUGCGUGUGGAAAGAAUUUCGGUGGGGAUGAGCUCGCGGCCUAUCAGCUUGUUGGUGAGGUAAUGGCUCACCAAGGCGACGACGGGUAG
rnacentral:rRNA from 1 species